GCGAGAGUGGCGAAAUUGGCAGACGCGCCAGACUUAGGAUCUGGUGGGGCAACCCGUGCAGGUUCGAUUCCUGUCUCUCGCA
rnacentral:tRNA from 1 species